UUGGCUGGCAUUCCUCAGGCAGGGAAUGGCUGAAAGACAAAACACACCCCACUGCUGGGAGCCCGAGUGCAGCGUGUGGGAAGGCAACACUCUUCACCCCGGGAAUUCUGUCCUACCCGCUAUGCGAGAAUUAAAUUUAAAGGCUUCCAGGAUGAAAGGACAUAGUCUCAAGAUGUGCCCAGGGAAAGUUUAGGUUGUGAGACUUUUGGUCGGAGGAAUUACUUCACCAAAAGAGUGUUUAGACAUUGGAACGGGCCGCCCUUGGAGGUGGCGGAGUCGCCAUCCCUGGAGGUGUUUAAAGAACACUGGACGCGGCACUCAGUGCCAUGGUCUAUUGCCACGGUGGUGUUCCGUCACAGGAGGGACUCGGAGGUCUUUCCCAACAUCACUGUCUCCGUGUGCCCACGCGCAGCCCUCACGCACAACAUGGACCCCCCGCUGCCAUUUUGCGGCCGCCGCUCCCCACGUGCCCCGGACACGGGGGACGGCCCCGCCCGCGCCCCGACGUCACGCAAGGCGCAUGCGCCGAGCGGAGGCGGGAGGGGGCGCCGCCGCCCGAGGCCGCGGGGCGGGUCAGCCGGAAGCCGCCGAGCCCCGCGCAGGAAGUGGCCCCCGCGCGCACGCCGCGACCAGCGGCCCCCGGCUGCGGCCGCCCGCGCGGCCCUUUGUGACUCAUGUGACUGACGCGCGCGGCGCUGACCAAUGGCAGCGGCUCCUCCCUUGCCCGCCUGGCCCCGCCUCCUCUCCGCCCUCACGGCCAAUCGGGAGGGCAAGUUCGCCUCCGUCGCCAUCUCCUCCCUGAUGGAUGUGUGCGCAACCCAAUGAAACCCUUAGCCCCGCCCCCGCCACCCGCCAAUGGGCGCCGCGCAAUGCGGCGCUGGCGGGCCCGGGGCAGCCAGGGAGGGCCCGGCCGGACGCCCCCUCCCCGGCGGAGUGGCCGUGGCAGCCGCCGGCCGCGCUCCUGCGCCGGGGGCAGCCGCCCCGCCCUCUCCCCCGCCACCGUGAGGGGCUCCGGCCGCCCCCGGCCCCGGGCAGCCCCGCCGCCCGCCACACGUUCCCUGGCUGGAUGCGACACGGGGCGGGGAGGAGCCGCCCGGCCGCUGCGUGCGGGAGCUCUGCGCGCUCUUAAGGUGGCCCGAGAGCCCGACGGGAGCGGGAGCGGGAUAGCCGGGGGUGUCCCCGGUGGGGCGGAGGAGGGGCGCGGCAGCGGCAGCUGCCUGGUGUGAGGGCGGCGUGCGGGGGCGGCUGCUGGAGAAUGCCCGCUCGGCCGUCAGGGUGGGGGAGCCGGGCGGAGGUUUGUACCGGGAGAUAAGAGCCUGUCAGAUGAGCAUUCCCGCUGCAGAGACGGGGAGCGGCGGCUGGAGACAGUCUGUGCCUUCCUGUGGGUCCGAGGCUGGGCCAGCAAACACGUCCCUCGACGAUUGUCCAACCUUUGAAACUUUGGAGCUCCCAGCAGGUGCGGUUUGCUCUGGUGGAGAUAUCAGAAUCAGAAUCUGAGGUGGCAAAAGACCUCUGAGAACAUCGAGUUGAACCUUUGACUGAACACCACCGUAGCAACUAGACCAUGGCAAUGAGUGCCACAUCCAGUCUUUCCUUAAACACUUCCAAGGACACAGGCUGCACCACCUCCCUGGCAGCCCAUUCCAAUGUCUAAUCACAAUGUCAAUGUCUAAUUUUCUGUGAAGAAAUGCCUCCUGAAGUCCAACCUAAACCUCCCCUGACACAGCCUGAGGCUAUGUCCUCCUGUCCUGUCACUUGUUACCUGGGAGAAGAGGCUGACCCCCUCCUGGCUGCCCCCUCCUUUCGGGUGGUUGUAGAGUGAGAGGGUUACCUCUGAGUUUCUUCUACAGGCUAAACAAUCCCCAUUCCCUCAGUUAUUCUUGUACUUGUGUGCAAGUACAUAAAGGUUUUCCUGGCUAAGAAGGGUUUUUUUAAAAAAAAAUCUAAGCCAAGCACCUAACCUGCCCAGGGAGAAAAACAUGUUAGGAUACCUGCAUGUUACAUAGGAUUUCUGAGAUGCCUGUUUAUUACUAGUUGCAAAUGGAAGGAACAGUCCUUCAGCCAGGAUGCAGAAGAGAAUUCCUUCCCAAAUACUGAGACUUUCGGUGUCCCAACUGCCAAAAACCAAAGCCACCUCCUACACCUUCCUGGAUGCGAGAAGCCCCAACUGCCCGCUACCCAUCUGUCAAAAUUUAUAGAUCUCCUUAGACAAAUAUUAACAAUUCAGUCAUGCGCAAAGCCUGUGGCAUAUUGAAAAAAUUGGGAGAAGGAUAAAAUACAUUGAAUGUAAUGUAAAAAUAA